rnacentral:rRNA from 1 species
CACUCCUGCGGGAGGCAGCAGUGGGGAAUUUUGGACAAUGGGCGAAAGCCUGAUCCAGCCAUGCCGCGUGCAGGAUGAAGGCCUUCGGGUUGUAAACUGCUUUUGUACGGAACGAAACGGCCUUUUCUAAUAAAGAGGGCUAAUGACGGUACCGUAAGAAUAAGCACCGGCUAACUACGUGCCAGCAGCCGCGGUAAUACGUAGGGUGCAAGCGUUAAUCGGAAUUACUGGGCGUAAAGCGUGCGCAGGCGGUUAUGUAAGACAGUUGUGAAAUCCCCGGGCUCAACCUGGGAACUGCAUCUGUGACUGCAUAGCUAGAGUACGGUAGAGGGGGAUGGAAUUCCGCGUGUAGCAGUGAAAUGCGUAGAUAUGCGGAGGAACACCGAUGGCGAAGGCAAUCCCCUGGACCUGUACUGACGCUCAUGCACGAAAGCGUGGGGAGCAAACAGGAUUAGAUACCCCUGUAGUCCCAUGAU